rnacentral:rRNA from 1 species
UGGGGAAUCUUGCGCAAUGGGCGAAAGCCUGACGCAGCGACGCCGCGUGGGGGAUGAAGGCCCUCGGGUUGUAAACCCCUUUCGGCAGGGACGAAGCGAUUGUGACGGUACCUGCAGAAGAAGCCUCGGCUAACUACGUGCCAGCAGCCGCGGUAAGACGUAGGAGGCGAGCGUUGUCCGGAUUCAUUGGGCGUAAAGAGCACGCAGGCGGUUUGGCAAGUCGGACGUGAAAAUCCGGGGCUCAACCCCGGACCUGCAUCCGAAACUGCCCGACUAGAGGUAGGUAGGGGAGAUCGGAAUUCCUGGUGUAGCGGUGAAAUGCGCAGAUAUCAGGAGGAACACCGGUGGCGAAGGCGGAUCUCUGGGCCUUACCUGACGCUCAGGUGCGAAAGCUAGGGGAGCGAACA